GGGCCCUUAGCUCAGUUGGCAGAGCGGAUCCCUUUUAAGGAUUAGGUCGCAGGUUCGAAUCCUGCAGGGCUCACCA
rnacentral:tRNA from 1 species